rnacentral:lncRNA from 1 species
CGGGGCCGUGGGGCUGAGCCGUGGGGCGAGCCGUGGGGCCAGCCGUGGGGCCAGCAGCCGCUCCCCGCCGGCCUCCAGCGGCAGCCGGAGCGCGAUGUGCCGCUGAGCCCCGCAGCCGGAGCCCCGCCGACACCCCAUAAAUCAUCUGCAAACGAGUUUAUGAGAAAAAUAGAAGGAAGAAGGCCAAAGAGGCAUGCCAGAGAAGGAAGCUUGCAGAGUCCAAGGGGUUCAGAGAAGACUGCAGUGGGACUGCCUCUGAGAGGGAGCGUUUACAUCACUAAUUCUUGAAGGGCUUACCUUCUGGGACUCUGAGCUUGGAUUGCUGCCGCAACAUUUGUCUGGGACUUGGCCUCUGGGCUGGUGAGUUAGUGAUGGAGUGAUACAUGUCUUGUGUGCUGAAACAUGAUGUUUUCAGGUUGCUCACUGUGAGGAGUUUUGGUCUCUGAUCAUUCUGUUUCUCCUGCUCCAGUGAGGACAGGAUGUGUCAUGCAGCAAAGAAGGCAAAGGAUCACAAACAUUAGAUAAAGGGUUUUCCAAAUGGCUCGCGGCUCUCUUAACACUGUCAUCAUUGGACUCAAUGGGACUUUCUCCCC